CAGUAGCCGCGGGAAUACGAAGGGGGCUAGCGUUGUUCGGAUUUACUGGGCGUAAAGCGCACGUAGGCGAAUCGAUCAGUCAGGGGUGAAAUCCCAGAGCUCAACUCUGGAACUGCCUUUGAUACUGUCGAUCUGGAGUAUGGAAGAGGUGAGUGGAAUUCCGAGUGUAGAGGUGAAAUUCGUAGAUAUUCGGAGGAACACCAGUGGCGAAGGCGGCUCACUGGUCCAUUACUGACGCUGAGGUGCGAAAGCGUGGGGAGCAAACAGGAUUAGAUACCCCAGUAGUCCCUGUCUCUUAUAC
rnacentral:rRNA from 1 species